UCUUCCCGCGGCGACGCCCAGGCCACCAAGGCCGGAGCGCACUUGGAACGCGAGCGGGAGCCUGAGACGCCCGGACCAACGUCUCAGAGCUGGGCCCUACGCAGCCUGCGAAGUUUCCGGCCCAUGGGACGGACGCGCCCGAAUGGUCGAGAGGAGCAAACUUGGCGCUCGCACACUCAGAGAGGAGCACAGGCCACGCCCAACACAAGAAGGCUUGCGAGCAGCUGCAGUAGCGGGACCCUGGCUCCCAGGCCACGGAGACCCAUUUGAGCCUCCAUUUCCUUGCCUGCCAGCCCAGCACAAGCAACAGUGUCUCCUCUGGGCCUUGUUAGGAGACUCAGAUGAUACCAUGGAGCAAAGCGCCAGUCCACACUGGUGCUCGGUGAGAGGUGCUUGUUUGUCCUGCUGCACAGUGGCCACUUCCAGGACCAACUCGGCCAGGGAAGGAGCGAGGCAGAGCCGGAGCAGUGACUUCAGAGCCUGCUGCGUUUUCACAGCAGGUGCAGCCUAA
rnacentral:lncRNA from 1 species